CUGGCUGCCUGCUCUAUACAUGCAGUCGAGCGGAGAGAUGGGAGCUUGCUCCCCUGAUGUCAGCGGCGGACGGGUGAGUAACACGUGGGUAACCUGCCUGUAAGACUGGGAUAACUCCGGGAAACCGGGGCUAAUACCGGAUGCUUGAUUGAACCGCAUGGUUCAAUUAUAAAAGGUGGCUUUUAUCUACCACUUACUAAUGGACCCGCGGCGCAUUAGCUAGUUGGUGAGGUAACGGCUCACCAAGGCAACGAUGCGUAGCCGACCUGAGAGGGUGAUCGGCCACACUGGGACUGAGACACGGCCCAAACUCCUACGGGAGGCAGCAGUAGGGAAUCUUCCGCAAUGGACGAAAGUCUGACGGACCAACGCCGCGUGAGUGAUGAAGGUUUUCG
rnacentral:rRNA from 1 species